GCGGGCGUGGCGGAAUUGGUAGACGCGCCAGACUCAAAAUCUGGUUUCCUCUGGAAGUGGGAGUUCAAGUCUCCCCGCCCGCACCA
rnacentral:tRNA from 1 species